UACAGAGGUCUCAAGCGUUGUUCGGAUUCAUUGGGCGUAAAGGGUGCGUAGGCGGCGCGGUAAGUCGGGUGUGAAAUCUCGGAGCUUAACUCCGAAACUGCAUUCGAUACUGCCGUGCUUGAGGACUGGAGAGGAGACUGGAAUUUACGGUGUAGCGGUGAAAUGCGUAGAUAUCGGGAGGAACACCCGUAGCGAAGGCGGCACUCUGGGCCGUGACUGACGCUGAGGAGCGAAAGCGUGGGGAGCGAUCCGG
rnacentral:rRNA from 1 species